ensembl:lncRNA
GUCCUGGAAGGGCAACGGAGGUCCUGGAAGGGCAAUGGAGGUCCUGGAAGGGCAACGGAGGUCCUGGAAGGGCAACGGAGGUCCUUGAAGGGCAGUGGAGGUCCUGGAAGGGCAACGGAGGUCCUGGAAGGGCAGUGGAGGUCCUGGAAGGGCAACGGAGGUCCUGGAAGGGCCGUGGAGGUCCUGGAAGGGCAACGGAGGUCCUGGAAGGGCAGUGGAGGUCCUGGAAGGGCAAUGGAGGUCCUGGAAGGGCAACGGAGGUCCUGGAAGGGCAGUGGAGGUCCUGGAAGGGCAACGGAGGUCCUGGAAGGGCAAUGGAGGUCCUGGAAGGGCAGUGGAGGUCCUUGAAGGGCAAUGGAGGUCCUGGAAGGGCAGUGGAGGUCCUUGAAGGGCAGUGGAGGUCCUUGAAGGGCAGUGGAGGUCCUGGAAGGGCAACGGAGGUCCUGGAAGGGCAGUGGAGGUCCUUGAAGGGCAACGGAGGUCCUGGAAGGGCAACGGAGGUCCUUGAAGGGCAGUGGAGGUCCUUGAAGGGCAAUGGAGGUCCUGGAAGGGCAAUGGAGGUCCUGGAAGGGCAACGGAGGUCCUUGAAGGGCAAUGGAGGUCCUGGAAGGGCAGUGGAGGUCCUGGAAGUGCAACGGAGGUCCUGGAAGGGCAGUGGAGGUCCUGGAAGGGCAACGGAGGUCCUGGAAGGGCAAUGGAGGUCCUGGAAGGGCAGUGGAGGUCCUUGAAGGGCAAUGGAGGUCCUGGAGGUCCUUGAAGGGCAACGGAGGUCCUGGAAGGGCAGUGGAGGUCCUGGAAGGGCAACGGAGGUCCUGGAAGGGCAAUGGAGGUCCUGGAAGGGCAGUGGAGGUCCUGGAAGGGCAGUGGAGGUCCUGGAAGGGCAACGGAGGUCCUGGAAGGGCAGUGGAGGUCCUUGAAGGGCAGUGGAGGUCCUGGAAGGGCAAUGGAGGUCCUGGAAGGGCAAUGGAGGUCCUGGAAGGGCAGUGGAGGUCCUGGAAGGGCAACAGAGGUCCUGGAAGGGCAGUGGAGGUCCUGGAAGGGCAAACGGAGGUCCUGGAAGGGCAGUGGAGGUCCUGGAAGGGCAAUGGAGGUCCUGGAAGGGCAGUGGAGGUCCUUGAAGGGCAAUGGAGGUCCUGGAAGGGCAAUGGAGGUCCUGGAAGGGCAGUGGAGGUCCUGGAAGGGCAGUGGAGGUCCUGGAAGGGCAAUGGAGGUCCUGGAAGGGCAACGGAGGUCCUGGAAGGGCAGUGGAGGUCCUGGAAGGGCAAUGGAGGUCCUGGAAGGGCAGUGGAGGUCCUUGAAGGGCAAUGGAGGUCCUGGAAGGGCAACGGAGGUCCUGGAAGGGCAGUGGAG